rnacentral:rRNA from 1 species
AACGUAGGGCCCGAGCGUUACCCGGAAUCACUGGGCGUAAAGCGCACGCAGGCGGCCUGGUAAGUCGGGCGUGAAAUCUCCAAGCUCAACUGGGAGGGGCCGUCCGAUACUGCUGGGCUUGAGGGCGGGAGAGGGAGGUGGAAUUCCCGGUGUAGCGGUGAAAUGCGUAGAGAUCGGGAGGAACGCCAGUGGGGAAGCCGGCCUCCUGGUCCGUCCCUGACGCUCAGGUGCGAAAGCCAGGGGAGCGAACGGG